CAGCCCUCUGUUCCAUCAGUCAUUAGGUGGAGGCCACUUAGCCUGUGGGAACCUGGCCAUUACUGCUUCCUUGAGUAGCUGAGGCUGCUGGCUGGCCCACCUGCUUCAGGUGCACCCUUGCAGAGGUGGCUGGUUGCUCUUUGAGCCGGCUUGGCCUUGCCUGGCAUGCACAGGCCCCAGCUACUUACACCCUACUCCGAAUUAGCUUGUCCCAAAGUCUGAGUCUGGCCAGGACCACAGAAGGCCGAGUCCCAUGGGUGGUAAUCCUGCCUGCUUUCUGCACUUGAACAUAAAGUCCUCCUCAAGAUGGCCUGUGCUCUGCCUCUUGGCAACCAAGAAGCCUGUGCUUCCAUAGGAGCCCUGAGAGGUGGACUGGAACCCCAAAGGCAGCACAUACCCUGCUCCUCAGCCUGUUACUCCUUUCCUCUAUAUGGUUCUAUAUGUAGCACGGUUGUUGCACUGAGGCUUGUGCAUGCCACAGCUACUUACACACUGCUCCAAAUCAGCUUUUCCAGAGUCUAAGUCUGGCAAGGGCCACAGAAGGCCGAGUCCCCUGGGUGGUAAUCCCGCCCGCUUUCUGCACUUGAACAUAAAGUCCUCCUCAAGAUGGCCUGUGCUCUGCCUCUUGGCAACCAACAAGCCUGCAGUUCCAUAGGAGCCCUGAGACAUGGACUGAAACCCCAAAGGCAACGCAUACCUUGCUUCUGAGCCUGAUGCUCGUUUCCUAUAUAUAGUUCCAUUUGUAGCACGGUAGUUGCACUGAGGCUUGUGCAUGCCAGGCAAGGCCAAGCUGGCUCAAAGAGCAACCAGCCACCUCUGCAAGGGUGUGUCAGGAGCAGGUGGAACAGAUGCCAACCUCAUUUGCUGCCGUUCAGGGUACCUCAGUUUUUCUACCGUAGAGGUAGGGUCCUAGUGCCAUCUGCUUUUCCUCAGGUCUCACCUCCAUCAGCCGUCAGGUGGCAGCCACUCAGGCUGUGGGAACCUGGCCAUCCCGGCUUCCUUGAGUCGCUGAGGUUGCUGGCUGCUCCACCUGCUCCAGGUACACUCUUCCAGAGGUCGCUGGUUGCUCUUUGAGCCAGCUUGGCCUUGCCUGGCAUGCACAGGCUCCAGCUACCUACACGCUGCUCAGUCAGCUCGCCCUGCCUUGGCCCAAAUUCUACGUCUGGCCAGGGUCACAGAAGGACGAAUCCCCUGGGUGGUAAUACUGCCUGCUUCCUGCACUUGAACAUAAAGUCCUCCUCAAGACAGCCUGUGCUCUGCCUCUUGGCAACCACGAAGUCUGCGCUUCCAUAGGAGCCCUGAGACGUGGACUGGAACCCCAAAGGCAGCACAUACCCUGCUCCUCAGCCUGCUGCUCGUUUCCUCUAUAUGGUUCCAUUUGUAGCACGGUUGUUGCACUGAGGCUUGUGCGUGUCAGGCAAGGCCAAGCAAGCUCAAAGAGCAACCAGUCACCUCUGCAAGGGUGU
rnacentral:lncRNA from 1 species